GUGCUGCUGUGGACAGAAUGCCAAUGAGGCCGACACCUCAGCGAGCCCAUCUGCGAGGCUGAGGCUGGGACAGGGCUCAGAAUGAAGGCAGGGCUGGGCCAGGACAGGGGCCGGCAGGAGUGAGGCAGAGAUAGGAGAGGGGCAGGACAGCGCAGGGGGGAGGCUGGCACUGGGGAGGAGCCAGGCUGGGGCAGGGACUGGGCUUAGGAUGGAGAUGGUGCUGUGGCGGGGAUGGGGACAAAGUCAUCUCCACCUCGGGGGCAGAAACAGACUCUGAAAGAGUAAGGGGUCCUUCCAGGCCAGGGGACAGAGGGAAGCAAUUUGGGGAAGAGUUGCGGAGGAAGAAAGAAUAUAAGAGGGGAGUAUGAACAGGGAAAGCAGAGGCAGGAGCACCCGACCUUGAGUCACAGGGGCAACCCCACCUCUGUCACCCUCCUAAUCUUGCAGGUGGCACCAGUGCGGCACAAGGGGACCAAGGACUCACCCAGACCCCAGCAAAGGGGGAGGGGGUCAGGGUUCAACCAGACCCAGAGAGGAGGCAGGAGGGUGGGGGAGUGGGAAGGGGUAAGAGGGGGAGUGGGGUUCUGGCUUAACCAACCAGACAGCGACCCCCUGCCAUCCCUCUCAGCUUAUUCCAGCCCACCCCACAGAAGAAUCAGAUCCCUGCCACAUGCCCCCCUGCUUGUCCCACACCCAGUGCCCCCACCCAGGAUGCCUUUAUUUCCCCAUUCCAAACCUGGGUCCACUCAACCCAAAUCAUCCCUCGUCCAUUCACGGACUCUCUCAGCCCUCGCACGCUCCAGCCCUGACCUCCUCCAGCAGAGACCUGUCUGCCCCUCACCCUCAGGGCUUGAUGUUGCCCGGUUCCAUUCUGGUGGCCCAAGGGUGCCUGCUGUGGGGUGCAUGUCCCCGUCAACGUGCUUAGUCCUCACAAACAUCACGGAGAAGCUUCAUGGCCUAUGGUUAAACUCAUGAGCUUGGGACUCUACUGGGCCAGGCUCGAGUCCCAGGAGCUUUG
rnacentral:lncRNA from 1 species